UAAUGUGUUUUUCUUUCCUCUUAGCUCUUUGCUCACAGUUGUCCUGAAAGGAGUUGACCUUUUCUUCCCAAGAUGCUUGAGAGCCAACAGGCUGAGAAGGUUAAGUGAGGUGUUCACCCUCAUAUUGAGCCCAGCCUCUUACUUGACCAGCAAGUUCCCAGAUAGUGGCUGCUCCAUCAGUUUGGAUCCUGGGGAAGGAUGAAGCUGAGCAGAACCCCCAGCUGAUUGUGAUGGACAUACAGCACAAGCAAGAAACAAAUCUUUGUCAUAAGCCACUGAGAUCUUGGCAUUGAUUGUUACUAGCUUAAACCAAUUGUUUAUUAGCAUAACUUAGCCCAUCCUAAUACAUGAAGUCCAUAAAAUUGAUGAACAAAUAAAGAAGAAUAGCACUCUG